rnacentral:lncRNA from 1 species
UCCGCCUCCACUCGGCUGUUCUCGUUCACCUCGGUCUGAGGCACACCCCAGCAAGAAGGGAAACCCCAGAGAGAAGAAGAGGAAAUGAAGAAAAACUGAUUUUUUCACCUAUGAAUGGACAAUGGAAGACCAGUGAUGAAAGAAAGACCCUUUCGGGGAUUGAAGAGCCACCACCCUCGGGCCUUAGGGUGGGGUCGGAGGAUAAAGAAUGCCCGAAAGAGAGAGAUCCGAGGGUU